CGGGAGGUAGUGGGGUGACAGUACCUCCUGGUCUCCACCACGCAUCAGAGUCCUCGCAGCCAGGAUGGCCCCAUGGUGCAGAAAUCAUGUCCAGGUUGCACAGCAAGGGCUCAGACUUACUGUGGUAUCCUCUCUGUGCUUUUCAUCUUUGCGUUUGGAGGGAGCUUCAGGAGCCCUGUAGGAUGCCCCCCAAUUUGGAUUUGUCUGUUGUUUUCACUGAUGGACAGGGGCUGGGGGUUUUGGAGGAGCCCACAGAGCUGAAGAGUCAUCUCAUCACAUCAUGUCAAAGGAGCAGUCGUGGCGCCGUGGCUGCCUUGGGGGACGCUGUCCUAAGGGCUGGGCGGCCUGGUGACCUAUGGUGGGGGCUCAUGAACUGGCCGGAGCCGGCAAGCACCCCACAUUUCAAGCUGUGCUGCCAUUUCAUCCUGAUGAUUUGAGGGGGAGCAGGUCAUUUCCCUGCCCAGGCUCUGGACUGAUCGGCUCCAUGCAAUUCUCCUAUACCUUGAGCCCCUCAGAUUCUUGAAAUCAAUGGAAGAUUCUCCUGGUGUCUCUGAGUCCUCCUGGCCAGGCCACAACUAUUUCCUCAACAAGUGGGUAUCUGCAUCAUCACCGCCUUUGGGUCACGCUUUUCUCUUCUCCAAAAAAGGUCACAGGGUCUGGUGACACAUGUGUCCGUUGGAGAACCACUGACCAGAAUGACGUCCAGCAGAGCUCCUUCCAGGGGAGGGGCAGCUAAGUGGCUUCCAAAAUGUCUCUGAGCUUCAGAAAAACAACACCAAAGGGAUUGACGCCAUGCCUGGGUCAUCACGUUCUUCCCAAGUGUGGCUGAGUCACAGCGGAGCUUCUGUGCCCCUGCACUCAACCUGCUGUCCACGCAGAUGCGGGCGCCACCUCCACCCCAGGGAAGGACUGUUUUUGUGCUUGCUGGCCAGCCGUGUGCCUUCCGAAGGGUCAUACGAACCUGAGCGGCACAGUGAAGGAAAAAUAGCCGGUGGGAUGACAAAUGGGUUUGAUUUCAAAGAAGGCUGUUUCCAGACGGAGGAAGGGCGGGCUUCCUGCUCGCUGGCUGGGCCUCCGAGUGCUGAGUCAUGACAGCUAGGCCCCUCGGAUUGCACAACCAGCCUCUGAGUUUACUUCAAUCAUGUCCUUUCCAAGAAAAGGCAUAAACUUGACCUAGCAACGUGCCUUCUGUGUGUUCAACACAAAGCUGAUUCUGUUCAAAACAUGAGAGUAAACAGCCUUGCAAGUGUUACAGGUUGGCUUUCCUAAGAAUUCCUUGGAUUUUGGAAUUUGUUUAUAUUAUGGUUUCAUCAGCUUCAAAUACUGUAACCCAAACAAUUAACUGCCUCAGGGUGCAUUUAUUAAGCACCCAGUUGUCACCUCCCCUGCAUCUCAGGCAAACACCUAAUAUGUACAGAUUUUUAGCUGAAGGAUAGUUGAUACACAAUAUUACGCUGGCCUGAGUCCCCUCUCUGAGAAGCCCAGAUGAGGGUCACUGACAAUCGGAUGGCAGGGAUUCCUGUGUCUGACGCUCCCGUGGAUCCCUGGCCAUCACUGGCUCCCACAGCCCCUGGUGGCAUAUUUCUGGCCGCUUGGUCUCUGGAAUGAUGUCCCCCAGCCCCCCAGGGCUCUCCAGGCACCAUCUUCCCACCUCGCACCCUCUGAGACUCAGCCCAGCGGACAGGUCUGCCUGCAGCCCCAGCUGACAUCAUAGGAAGUAGAGCAGAAGAUUUCAUUAAAACACCGACAGAACAGGUGUAGUGGGUUGGAUGUUGGUCCCCAAAAAGGUCCGUCCACACUCUAAUCCCUAGUAGCUAUGAAUAUAACUUAAAAAUUUUUUUUUAAAAAUUAAAAGGAGUCUUUAUAGGCAGGGAUCCCAAGACAAGGAGAACAUCCCAGUUUCCCUGGUAGGCCCUUAACCCAGGGACAAGAGUCCUUAUAGGAGACACGGAGAGGGGAGACAAGGGGCGGGGGAGGGCGGGCACGGACUGCAGGGGUGCGGCCACCAGCCUAGGAACGCCUGGGCCAACAGCAGCUGCAACCGGCUCCCCCGGGGCCUCUGGGUGUGGCCCUGCAGACAGACACCUUCAUCUCCAGCCCCCAGGACCGUGAGGGUUUCUGCUGCUUCCAGCCCCCUCUUUGUGAUCAUUGGCUGUGGCAGCGCCAGGACACUUAUGCAACAGGAAGCCCCCCGUGGGGGAGCCCACAUGCAGAGCCUGGACUCUUGAUGGUGCAGCUGAGACAGGGCCGCGGGGCAGAGCCCGGACGCCUCCUCCUUCCACCCGCACCGCCCUUGCAGCCAGGCCCGGGCCUCCGCAGCAGAUGCCCACAUUCAGCCUUGGUCUGCAGGCUGCUGUCCCAGAAGGCCCUGCUCGCUCAGUCCUGCUCACGGACAGACCCCGGUUGGGGACGACUGCUGAGCUGACCUGCCUGCUGUCCGUCGCCCCGACACAGGUCACCUGUCUCUGUUCCCCACCGGCUACCGUGCUCCUCAGCUUCCCUGUGUGGUGGCUGCCCUCCUACCUGUCUGGGGCACGUCUCUGCCUGGUCCCCCAGCUGUUCUGUCCACGACCCCAGACUGCCACGAGUGGCCAGAUGCUGGCUCAGGCCCACUCCUGAUCGGUUGUCUCCUUGACUACACACCGCAUCACAUGGCCCUGGACAGAGACUUUCUGUACUUUCUCCUUGAAAUACACUUUGUGAGCCCUUUGCCAUCUGGAUUUUCAGAAUGAUUGGAGCCAUUUCGGAUGUUCACGGAGAGGGUCCCCAUGGUUUUUUCUCAUCUCCCUUGUGUGUGGGUUGACUAGGAGGCCUGGGGAGUGUUUCACAGCGUAGGCUGAUGCCAAUUUUCCCUUUCUCACAGAAAGGUUUCAGCACAUCAAUACUGCUACUAAUAUAUUAUUAACAUUGUUCUGAGAAUAAAAGUUCUAAAUUUACUCUAACUUUCACUGUGACUAUUAGUGUGUACAGAUAUAAUGUCUAGAGAGACACUGAUCAUGAAUAUUGUCACUAUUUUAUCUCUUAACCCAUGGAGUUUGACAUUCCCUGAAUUUAACUCUGCUUUUAAUAAGACCAUCCCACAUAGAACAAAUAUUUCUAAAGAACUAUAAAGAGGGAGGUAAGUCAUGACUUCACAAGGGGCCAGAUAACCUGGACUGCCUUUUUUUUUUUUUUGUCUUCGCAUCAUCUCCUAUUAUGACCAUUAAUUGAGAAGAGGGUCCUGGGGUUCCCACUUGCCCUGCUUCUUUGUAAUGGUGUAUGAAGUCUAGUUUUUGGCAGGAUUAAUCAGCUUUAGCCUAACCGUGCCCCUACUGUCCACAGACCAAUGAGGAUUCUUUUCAUUCCACCCAGAAAUUAAUCUUCUGGUUUUCUGCACACAUGAAAUGCGUUCCCUUCAUCUCCUUCCCAUCCAUCACGGUGGAAUGCUCCAGUCACGGGCUCUGAUGGGAAAGGUCAGAUGGGACACCUGGUGGACAUACUCCUUUUGUCAAAUAGUAACCACAAAGAAAAUAAUUGACAGAACACAGACAACAAUUCAUUACUAAUUAUAAAACGCAGUCCUGUUGGCUUCAGAGUAGAGUUCAUGCUCAGAAUAUUUGUGAACUAUGUAAUAGUUAAAAAAAAGUUUAUGUUUAUGUGUUGAACAUAGUCUGUCUGUUCUGUGAGACUUCAGAAUCAUAAGCCUUCAAGGAGACGCUACGAAAGACCAGAAAUAAUUUUACUUUGCGUUGUUGGGUAGCUUCACUCUCAAAAUAAAACCUUCCCAGUCAUGAUGUCAUUUAAUUACUAAUUAAAGCAGUUAUA